rnacentral:rRNA from 1 species
AUUGAACGCUGGCGGCAUGCCUUACACAUGCAAGUCGAACGGCAGCACGGGUGCUUGCACCUGGUGGCGAGUGGCGAACGGGUGAGUAAUACAUCGGAACGUACCUUAUCGUGGGGGAUAACGCAGCGAAAGCUGUGCUAAUACCGCAUACGCCCUGAGGGGGAAAGCGGGGGAUCGAAAGACCUCGCGCGAUUAGAGCGGCCGAUGCCUGAUUAGCUUGUUGGUGGGGUAAAAGCCCACCAAGGCGACGAUCAGUAGCUGGUCUGAGAGGACGAUCAGCCACACUGGGACUGAGACACGGCCCAGACUCCUACGGGAGGCAGCAGUGGGGAAUUUUGGACAAUGGGGGAAACCCUGAUCCAGCAAUGCCGCGUGAGUGAAGAAGGCCUUCGGGUUGUAAAGCUCUUUUGUCAGGGAAGAAACACCGGCUCUAACACAGUCCGGGAAUGACGGUACCUGAAGAAUAAGCACCGGCUAACUACGUGCCAGCAGCCGCGGUAAUACGUAGGGUGCGAGCGUUAAUCGGAAUUACUGGGCGUAAAGCGUGCGCAGGCGGUUAUACAAGACAGGCGUGAAAUCCCCGGGCUUAACCUGGGAAUGGCGCCUGUGACUGUAUAGC